rnacentral:rRNA from 1 species
GACGUAGGAGGCGAGCGUUGUCCGGAUUCAUUGGGCGUAAAGAGCGCGCAGGCGGCUUGGUACGUCGGAUGUGAAAACCCGAGGCUCAACCUCGGGCGUGCAUCCGAAACUGCUCGGCUAGAGGUAGGUAGGGGAGAUCGGAAUUCCUGGUGUAGCGGUGAAAUGCGCAGAUAUCAGGAGGAACACCGGUGGCGAAGGCGGAUCUCUGGGCCUUACCUGACGCUCAGGCGCGAAAGCUAGGGGAGCGAACUGG